rnacentral:tRNA from 1 species
UCCCUGGCGGUCCAGUGGUUAGGACUUGGCGCUUUCAGUGCUGAGGCCCGGGUUCAAUCCCCGGUCGGGGAA